GGUAAUAGAUUGGAGAGGCAGUGUUUCUAGAAUUGACUAGAAAUCUCUGUUAAGUUUAACAUGCUGCAUCUGUGGUAAAAAGUUUAAUAUUGAGCUCAACUAGUAGGAUUCUAACCUUCAAGCAUCAAAUGUUGUGAGGUCCUCCUACCUAGUAACAGAGCAAUGAUUGUCAAAGAUGGGAUAGGUCAUGAAGUUAAUUUAAACUCUUCCUCAGGCACAGCACAUCACACUACAGAUAUUAGAUAUAUUUCUUAGAGACUAGACAAUUGGAUUUUAAUUGGAUUAUAAUUGGGGGCAAGGGAGAAAUUAAAAAAUAAAAUAAAAUAAAAUAAAAAUAUAUAUAUAUAUAUAUAAUCAUAACACCUGGGAACCUUCAUAUAAAUGCAAGAUGGUGAGGGCAAGACAGCUGAAGCCUGUGUGGAUGAAGGACAGCAGUAAAGUGGUGAAAAUGUGAUACAGGUGCUAUCAUGGCUUGGCAUAAAGAUGUGAAACAAGUAUCAAAAAGGUGGAGGAACUGAAGAUGUAUUAAUUUUUGCUGAUGGUCAGUGGAAUAGAUAUCAAUCAUAAUUCACCUGUGGGAGCUGAGCUGUAGCUGUGACAUGGUAUGGAAAGUGACUGUGGAGUGGGAAGGAGGAAGUCUGAGGUAGAGGCCAUGCAAGUGACUUCUUUGACAUACAUAGAAUCAAUCCAAUAUAUAGAAGAUCUUUUAUUUCUGGCAUGGCUGCUAUCUUCAAAUGCCAUAUACACGUAUGACCUGGAUAAAAAUACCAGACUGACAAUUCAGAAUAUAACAGUUGUUGAGUAAGCAGGAAAAAAUCUGACCUUCACUGAGAGCUCAAUCAUACGCUUCUUAGAGACACUCUUUUUUCUUCAAAACUGUUUUGGAAUAAAAUUAAAAGGAUUGUGACA
rnacentral:lncRNA from 1 species